GUCAGGAACAAACAUUGGACAUAUAAUGGUUUUCACUUUUAGUAUUUUAAAAAAUUAUACUUUAAAGCUUGAUGAGUUUGUAAAAGUAAGAACAAACAUUGGAAUGUGCACAUGUGACAUGUUUUGUUUCAGAAAUUAAGGUAGUCGUAGGUAGUCCUUUUGUUUAACUGAACAGGUCAAUUCACAUACGUAAAUAGAUAUACCAUACGAAAUAUAGCCAUUGCUAAUGUAUGACUAUUAUUUAACUUAGUUGACAUAUUGAUAAUAGGCGACGAACUCGUUGAAAUAAGACACGACGAACUGAUUAGUAUCAAAGUUUGAACAUUUACCAAUAUUUGUAUUACGACAAACGGAAAUUUAAAUAAAAUAAUACAGUAAUUACGAGAUGUUUGUAUGAAGAAUUACAUUUUACCUGCAUGUACUAUUUUAAUGACUUGUGAGAGUAGUGUUUACUUUUCGGUUAGUUGGUUUAAAUGAAAGUUUAAUUGACUAGAAGAGAAAGUAUUGAAGAUCGUUUUCAAACACAGGUUUGCAGUGAGUGUUCGCUGAUGUUUUAUAAAACGUACACUGUAUGGAUUUGAACGUCUUACAUCUAAAUAGUGGAAAGACACUGUACGGGUGAAGAUAAGGGCUACGGGUGUAUUUACCGAAGGAUUUAAAUAUACUUGACUGAUUUGUGGGAAAAUUUCAUCUAUGUGAAUUUACGAGGAUACAUACUAAUAAUUAAUAAUAUUUCAUUGAUAUCAGGAUGUACGGUAGGAAAAAUUGAUUUACGUUUUAAAUAAUUCCAAGGUAUAUUACACUCAUAACUAAAUAAAGAAAUGUGGGUCAUUUAUACUUGUUAGUUAUACCUUUAACUAUGUUAAUAUUUCAAUUCGGAGAUUUAUUUAUUUUCUUUUUGUCAAAACAUUAUAUUGCAAGUGAUAUAAUAUUUUGGAAUUGUUCUCAAUCUCAACCAGUCGGAAUACCAAGGAACAAUGGAUUCAAAUCAUCCACUAUUGAUUGAUGAACUAUAAUUUGAAAUAUCGGAGAAAAUAAUAUGUGCGGUUGAUUUGUUAUAUGGACAAAGUACACAAUGAGCACGGAUGCGGUCAAUGAAAUUGAAAAAGCUUUAAAUGAUUUGGACACUAGCAAAACUUUGCAUGUGCUAGACAAGUUUGUGCCAAGAGGUUCACAGGAAUUUCGGGAAGCUUUAUUUGAAUGUCAAAAUGACGACGAUGCAAUUUUACCGCCAAGGGAAAGAAGCAAUACUAUCGAUACAACGUACAAGAAACCACACCCGAGCGUUCAUUUUGCUUCAAAUUUAGUGACCCCUGGUGGUAAAAAGACUAGGUCAAGAGAUGAUCUACAUUCGCAUAAACAUCCGGAAGGAAUUUUACGCCAUUCAAGGGAGAGAAGUAAUACGUACGACGGAACACUACAAAGACCACGUAAAGCUGUAAGUGUGAAAUCUCCACUGUGCGAUGAAAAUGACAAUGAUAACGAAUCCGCUGUUGAAAAAUUAUUACGAAAAUCCCCAGACGCAAGAAAAAUAGAUUUAAAUGGUCUACUUAAAGCCGACCAUAGAACUUCUGAUUCUAAAAAGACCGAUUCAAAGCAGCAAAAUGGUCUUUCACCCCUGCGACGAUUUAAAAAUGAGUCUGCUGCGCACUCUCAUUUAAAAACGUCUCCGAAGGUAUCACCAAAAACAUCAAGGAAGUCCUGAGUAGACUUCUCAGUUUUAUCGCACAGCAAUGUCAAAUUAACAUUAACCUCAUGAAUUUCAUACAAAUGUGGUGUUUAUCUAGAAUGAAGCAAAUAUGGUAUUUAUCUUGCAUGAAUCAAAUGUAGGAUUUGUUUAGCAUGAAUGCUAUGAGUAAAAAUAAGCAAUUAUGAAUAUUUCAUUAUUCAUUUUGUGAGAAUGUAUAAGACACUUGUUUACAACUUUGUUUCGUAGUAUUGUUAAUGUUAAAAAUGUAAUCUUCAUUUGAAUUCUGUGUUUUUAUCUCUUUAAAAGCAUAGAAUAAACAUCCUAGUGCUUCGAACAAGCUUUUAAUAACCUUGAGCAUCUUUUGAUGCAGUAAUAUAUCGGUUUGUAGUACUUAUUGUGGUAUGUAUGCUGUAAUCUGUAUUAUCGGAAUUGUCUUAAUGAGUAAAGUGGGGGUUUUUCCCGAAGUGAUUCUAUUAUUUCAAACAUUUCUCUGUUGUUGUUUUUUUAAAUGGUUUAAGAUAUUAAAAGGGAGCGUUGAGUACUGAAUGAAUAAGCUCUUUAAAAUUAAUGUUUGUAUUUAACGUUUCAAUAUUUUUUUACUCCUUUUACUUUUUCGUAUGCCUAUGCAUAUUAACUUUCCCUUUGUCUAGCAAUCCGUAUGUUUUACAUUAUUUUGAAAGGCAUAUCACACUUCUGUCAAAAUAUUGUUAAAUUCUUGUUCCUUGUUAUUUCAAAUACACUUUGCAUACCGCCUAACAUUCGUUUCUGUCCAUACAUUGAUUUUGAAACAGAGAAACCACCAUUAUAAUGAUUAAAUACUUGUAUCUCAAAAAGAGGCAAACAUAACAAUUAUGUUUAUGUAGACAUCCUUAAUAUAUAUUUCAGUGAGAUCGAUUUCAGUCGUGUGUUUUGAUGAGUUUUUUUUUUUAUAUAGUAAAAUGUUUAGAAUUUUA